rnacentral:rRNA from 1 species
UAAUACGUAGGUGGCAAGCGUUAUCCGGAAUCACUGGGUUUAAAGGGUGCGUAGGUGGGUGUUUAAGUGAGUGGUGAAAUCUUCCGGCUUAACCGGAAAAUUGCCAUUCAUACUGGAUACCUUGAGUAUAGUUGAGGUGGGCGGAAUGUGUCAUGUAGCGGUGAAAUGCUUAGAUAUGACACAGAACACCGAUUGCGAAGGCAGCUCACUAACCUAUAACUGACACUGAGGCACGAAAGCGUGGGGAUCAAACAGGAUUAGAUACCCUGGUAGUCCACGCCCUAAACGAUGUUCACUCGACAUUAGCGAUAUACUGUUAGUGUCCAAGCAAAAGCGUUAAGUGAACCACCUGGGGAGUACGCUCGCAAGAGUG